GACGAACGCUGGCGGCGUGCUUAACACAUGCAAGUCGAACGGAAAGGCCUUGCUUUUGUGGGGUGCUCGAGUGGCGAACGGGUGAGUAACACGUGAGUAACCUGCCCUUGACUUUGGGAUAACUUCAGGAAACUGGGGCUAAUACCGGAUAGGAGCUCCUGCUGCAUGGUGGGGGUUGGAAAGUUUCGGCGGUUGGGGAUGGACUCGCGGCUUAUCAGCUUGUUGGUGGGGUAGUGGCUUACCAAGGCUUUGACGGGUAGCCGGCCUGAGAGGGUGACCGGCCACAUUGGGACUGAGAUACGGCCCAGACUCUUACGGGAGGCAGCAGUGGGGAAUAUUGCACAAUGGGCGGAAGCCUGAUGCAGCAACGCCGCGUGCGGGAUGACGGCCUUCGGGUUGUAAACCGCUUUCGCCUGUGACGAAGCGUGAGUGACGGUAAUGGGUAAAGAAGCACCGGCUAACUACGUG
rnacentral:rRNA from 1 species